UACGGAGGGAGCUAGCGUUGUUCGGAAUUACUGGGCGUAAAGCGCACGUAGGCGGCUUUUUAAGUCAGGGGUGAAAUCCCGGGGCUCAACCCCGGAACUGCCCUUGAAACUGGAGAGCUAGAAUCUUGGAGAGGCGAGUGGAAUUCCGAGUGUAGAGGUGAAAUUCGUAGAUAUUCGGAAGAACACCAGUGGCGAAGGCGACUCGCUGGACAAGUAUUGACGCUGAGGUGGCGAAAGCGUGGGGAGCAAACAGG
rnacentral:rRNA from 1 species